UUCUGAAGUUGAUUAUCUCCUCAGACACCUGAGAUGUCCCCAAAGUGCCAUCUUUAAUGUGAAAGAUCCCUGAAGAGAGACCCUUACUCAAGUCUCGGGAAGUCACAGACCCCAGACACACGAGAGACC
rnacentral:pre_miRNA from 14 species